rnacentral:rRNA from 1 species
GGGCAAAUUAAUACCGUAACUUCGGGAUAAGGUUUGCCCCUAGUAGGUGAACGUGUACAACGGGAGCCAAAUGGGGUUGCAAGAAAUCGGUGGCUGCGACUGUUUAACAAAAACACAGCACUCUGCAAACACGUCAAGUGGACGUAUAGGGUGUGACGCCUGCCCGGUGCCGGAAGGUUAAGUGAUGGGGUGCAAGCUCUUGAUCGAAGCCCCGGUAAACGGCGGCCGUAACAAUAACGGUCCUAAGGUAGCGAAAUUCCUUGUCGGGUAAGUUCCGACCUGCACGAAUGGCGUAACGAUGGCCACACUGUCUCCUCCUGAGACUCAGCGAAAUUGAAGUGUUUGUGAUGAUGCAAUCUCCCCGCCGCAAGACGGAAAGACCCCGUGCACCUUUACUGCACCUUUGCAUUGGACUUUGAUGAUCUCUGUGUAGGAUAGCUGGGAGGCUUUGAAGUGGUGGCGCUAGCCAUCAUGGAGCCGACGUUGAAAUACCAGCCUGAUAUUAUUGAGGUUCUAACCUUGACCCGUGAAUCCGGGUCGGGGACCGUGCAUGGCAGGCAGUUUGACUGGGGCGGUCUCCUCCCAAAGAGUAACGGAGGAGUGCGACGGUACGCUUAGCGCGGUCGGCUAUCGCGCUGUAUGUGCAAUGGCAUAAGCGUGCUUAACUGCGAGACUGACAAGUCGAGCAGGUGCGAAAGCAGGUCAUAGUGAUCCGGUGGUUCUGUACGGAAGGGCCAUCGCUCAACGGAUAAAAGGUACGCCGGGGAUAACAGGCUGAUUCCUCCCAAGAGUUCAUAUCGACGGGGAAGUUUGGCACCUCGAUGUCGGCUCAUCACAUCCUGGGGCUGUAGCCGGUCCCAAGGGUAUGGCUGUUCGCCAUUUAAAGUGGUACGUGAGCUGGGUUCAAAACGUCGUGAGACAGUUUGGUCCCUAUCUGCGGUGGGCGCUGGAAGUUUGAGGGGGGCUGCUCCUAGUACGAGAGGACCGGAGUGGACGAACCUCUGGUGUACCGGUUGUCACGCCAGUGGCAUCGCCGGGUAGCUAAGUUCGGAAGAGAUAACCGCUGAAAGCAUCUAAGCGGGAAACUUGCCUCAAGAUGAGACUUCCCAGGGACUUGAUCCCUCUAAAGGGUCGUGGAAGACCACCACGUUGAUAGGCCAGGUGUGUACAAGGAGUAAUCCUUUUAGCUAACUGGUACUAAUUGCCCGUGCGGCUUGAUCCU